rnacentral:rRNA from 1 species
CCUACGGGUGGCAGCAGUGGGGGAUAUUGCACAAUGGGGGGAACCCUGAUGCAGCGACGCCGCGUGGGUGAAGAAGCGCCUCGGCGCGUAAAGCCCUGUCAGCAGGGAAGAAAAUGACGGUACCUGACGAAGAAGCCCCGGCUAACUACGUGCCAGCAGCCGCGGUAAUACGUAGGGGGCAAGCGUUAUCCGGAUUUACUGGGUGUCAAGGGGGCGCAGACGGCGGUGCAAGCCAGGAGUGAAAGGCCGGGGGCCAACCCCGGGACUGCUCUUGGAACUGCGUGGCUGGAGUGGAGGAGGGGCAGGCGGAAUUCGUGGUGUAGCGGUGAAAUGCGUAGAUAUCAGGAGGAACACCGGUGGCGAAGGCGGCCUGCUGGACUGAAACUGACGUUGAGGCCCGAAAGCGUGGGGAGCAAACAGGAUUAGAUACCCGAGUAGUC